GUCUCUCUGCCUGUCUCUCUGCCUGCCUGUCUCUCUGCCUGCCUGUCUCUCUGCCUGCCUGUCUUGUUAGUCCUGAUUCCUCUCACCUGUGUUUCUCCCCCCUGCUCGUUAGUCACUGGUGUUAAAUGUUUGCUGUUUUGGUUCAGUCUCUGUCCGGUCAUUGCUGGAUGUUGUAGUGGUGGAAGCAGCCUUUCCUGUCUCGUCCAGUUUCCUGACUGUUCCCUGUUAGUUCUUGGAUCUUUGGAUUUUCUGUUGGAUGGCCCUAUUUGUUUGGACUUUCAAAUUCAGUCACUCAAAUCUGUGAGAGAGGACAGGUAUUUCAUCGCUGGCAGAGCAGUUGCUGUCAGCCUGGGGCCUUUGUGGCCCCCACCAUGUUUCAUCUCGGGAACACCGUUUGCCUGCAUAGCAGAGGACCCUGAUGCAUGCAGGGUUAGGGUUAGGAUCCCUAACCCUAACCCUGCUAGAGGACAUCGCAGACAUGGAACUCUAUAGAAAACUGAAAGAUUUGCGACAGCUGACAGAACCGCUUACUGACUUCCUGGCCACUGCUGGCUGCUUCAGACAUCUUACAAGCCUGGUUGACAAGGACAAACUGUUGGAAGACGUGCUGAUGUUUCAGGUGGCUCAGCGUCUCCGUGGAGAUCAAAUCUGCAAAUCUGUUAACCUUUCCUGUGCUGUGGUUUGCACACAGUGUGAAUCCAGUAUGAACAGAGCAGCAUGUGAAACACGACCAGUAACAGUACUUAAUGCACAUACCGUUGUGCUUUAUUAGUUCCUGACCUCGAUAUAACUCGUUACUGAUGUCACCCUUAGCCUGAUAUGCCAGAAGCGUGUGUAUGCUCUCUUGUGUGAAUAAACAUCGAGUGUCACUGAGUGAUGGAUUGAGAAGACUUGGAGUGCUCCUGAAAAUAAAACAGCAUCCUGAAGCCUUUCGUCCUGUCCUGUGCUAAAGCCCUGGAAUUUAUGGAUGACUUGUUUGAGAAAAGAUGGUCAGAGAUGGGCAGCAACAACAGGGCAGACGAGAACAGGGUUGUUGCCUACUGGAGGGAUUAUUUUCAGAGGAACAGGAUGCAACGUGAUGCCACAUCUCCUAAACCCUCAGUGGAAUUCCAGAGAGGGAGAAACACACGUGUAAACUGUAACUCUAGAAUACCUCUUCAUCGAUCCUACGAGGAUUUCAAAAGUGACAUGGACUUUGCAAUCCGAAACACUCAAGGUUUUGGAAGGGAGUAAACAUCCUUAUUGACAGUUCUUGGUGAAAACCAUCAGUUCAGGUAGCCUAGUACUCACAAUUCUGACAUCUGUUACAUGCAAAUGUUUGUUUUGUUUCACAGACUAGAAUAAAGACAUAACAACUUGA